GGACAUUCCUGCAGUCAGCAUGCCAGUUGCACGCUCCCUCAAAACAUGCGACAUCUGUGGCAUUGUGCUGUGUGUUAAAACUGCCCAUUUUAGAGUGGCCUUUUAUUGUGGCCCUCCUAAGGCACACCUUUGCAAUAAUCAUGCUGUCUAAUCAGCAUCUUGAUAUGCCAGACCUGCGAGGUUGAUGGAUUAUCUCGGCAAAAGAG